CGGCGUGUCUACUAGUGAGAUGUGUGUGCGUGCAACAGCCGGUAUGUUGUGUGUGUCAUGCUUCCUCUCUGAAUCUUUUUAACACUGAAUUUUCUCUCCAUCUUGUACACUGUAGGGUACCAAGUAGAGAUAGCAACACAUGUUCGUCAACCGGCUGCAAAUGCGACCUUCUGUCAAUAUCUAUUUCAGUUAGUUCUCUACCAAAUCUAAUUUAGUUUAGAAUUUUCCAAUAGUUUGGUGUAUCUCUGUUCUCUAAAUCAAUAUAACUGACUGUUAAUAUACAUUCAGUUUAUUUUCUAUCAAAAUACAAUUCAGUAUGAAUAAAUAUGUAAUCAAGUGUGGUCAAUGAUUUCAUCAAAUAGGUCUUGGAGACAUCAUUUCUGUUAAUGUAUUAACAUUGUGACAUGUUCUGUUUAGUAUUUUCUCCUAGGCAUUUCUUUUUCUGUCCUUACUGUCUCUUGCAGCUCGGUGAAUAUAUAUACCAGAAAUAGUUUAAUCUGAAUCUAAGAAGAAAAUUACAUUUACAGUGUGGCAGUCCUACAGUAAUAGUACAGAGUUUAAACCUGUCAAUUUGAGUCAAUUUAUAGUAGUACUAUUACUAUUAGUUCUGCACUUACUAGUACUUGUACCAAGACAAAGUACGUGUUAGCUCACUCUCUCAACCUGGGGACACACCAAGCUAGCACUUGCCAACACAAUGACACACACAUUUCUUAUUCAACUCCUCUGCUCCCUACAUCCAUAUCUAGGUCGCCCUCAGCAAUAGUUCUCCAAACAAGUGGGGAUUGCUGUCUACUGCUUUAUCUAAAUCUUGUUGAUGCUGUUCCCUCUUUUUUAUUUUGAUAAAUUAACACUCUAAUUUCCCUGAUUAUGAUCUAUGUUUUUUAGGAUGCAGGUCUUGGUGGAGCUGCUGCAUGGCGCAAAAUAGAGCUUGAAAGGGCGGGCUGCCAUGAUGGCCGUGAUGGAGCUGCUCUGUGAUCAACCAGGGGUUGGUUCUUUACUGCCACUCCUAUGAUUUCUUCAUUAUUUUCAUUCUCCAGCUCAACUACCACUUAACUACACCUAUUUAGUUGAUCUAGUUCAGAGUUAGGUAUUUUUCAUGCCAAUUGAAGUUUACGUGUCAAGCAAGUGUUGGUUGCUAUUUUCAGAUCCUUGCCAAUUACAAAUAUUUAGUUUCAUGAGUGAACUUCUUGACACAUGAAUAUUUGAAGUUUCCGCCGGCCGGGUCGACGAGCAGCAGCUCGCCCCAUUGAUAUUGCUUAUUAGUGAUGUCAUUUUCCCGUGGAUUUAUAUGGCCUCAACUGCUGCUGAGUACUAGGAGUUCUGCAAUGUAUCUUCUGUUACAUUGUCACUUAUAGGUCAACUUGAAUAGACUUUCAUUUGACACACUUCUAUUUGGAUUAAUUUUAAGCAACAACAUGGUUAUUAUUGUUUUAUAGUAUAUAAUGUUAUUCUCAUUUGUAGCCAUGGUAUGUUUUAAGAAUUUUGGAAAGCAUGUCAUUUAUUUUUAUGUUUGUUCUAAUCUCUUAUUUCUACUAUAUAAUGUCUAAUUUUGUUGUAAUAUGCUAGGUAUUAUUAGGUAGCGGGCUACCAUCAGGAGGGCUGACGACAAUAACCUGAAUAACAACCUCAAAUAGUUUGUUGGUAUAAAUAUGCUGGUAUUAUUAGGUAGUGGGCUACCAUCAGGAGGGUCGACGGUGAGAACCAGAAUAACAACCUCCUCAAUCGUUAAAUGUUAUGUUGAUGUUAAUUGGAUUGUGCUAGUUCGAAACCUUGCCGUGUCUUUCACAUGUGCUGGUGAGAUGUUUGAUCACAUCAAACCAAAAAAAUCUUACCUUUUGCAAUUCCAUCAAAACAGCUUAGCGAUUGUUACUACAUGGCAUACAUGUAAGUCCGAUGAGAUCCCAUGUCCUACUUAAUUAAUUGGGUGCAUGAAGUAUUCUAGCUUGCAUAAACUAAGGUGACUUAGUACUAGUAUUAUGUUCAGUUGGUGUUCAUGUUUUAUGAUUUAGCUUGUACCUUAAUAACCAUGAAGUAAUUUGUAACCCACGUAAUAAAUUAUAUUUCUAGUUCUUGUCACCUUCUAUACUAAUAUACUGGUUUGUUUCAUUUCAUUAUUUUUCCUGUUAUAAGUAAUACUACAAUUUUGUAAUGCAGCUUUUACACUUUUGUAGUACUCUUGUCUUUACUAUCUAUGAAUCUGCAAAAAUCUAAUGUUCUUUUAAAUAUGCUAGGUGUGAUUGGGUAGUGGGCUACAUAGUGCUACCCUUCAUAACCCGCGCCAUGACAUGAUAGUUGCCAUCAGGAGAGUUGACGAAGAACCUGAACAGCAUCCUCGAAAGUUUAUAUGUUUUGUUGAUGUAAACUAGAUUGUACUGCUUCUUAACCUUGUUGUGUGAUAUAUUUAGUGAAUCUAUGUUGUAAAUUAUCAUUACAUGAAGGAUUUGUAAACUGCUAUGUUGUAUGUACACACAAUUUUUUUUU
rnacentral:lncRNA from 1 species